AAGAAACCCCCCACGUGGGGCUGGCCCCCCGGCACCCAUCCACACCUUCAUCUUUUCACCCUUCAGGUUUUCUCAGCCGCAGGAGAAGGCCCCUUCUUUUUCAGUUCUAUCUGCAUGGAACCCCCUCUUCUAGCCUGCCUCAGCCCAAGUCUUCUUUCUUUGCGGCUCUGAAUGGCAUAAGGGGCUCUGUGUGAAUGUCACUGCAGCAACAUGGAACUUCUUGAGGUGGAGCCCUGGCCUUUGGCUCUGAGGCCGGUGGACCAGACUCUACCAGCUACACAGCAAUGCCAGAGAAAAUCUUUUGGGCAGAAAGAGAUGAUGUUGUAUCCUAACCCCCAAGUAAUGGUGGAGACAUGCUAUUGGAAGCUGCCCAUCCCUUAAGAGUGAUCCAAAGGGGCCUGUCAAUCACCUGGCCAGGAGGAUAGUCUCCAGAAACAGCUGAUGCAGCUGAAUACCUGUUAGAAAGAUGGAAGGAUACCUACCCUGGGAUGAGAUGCGGACUCAGGAACACAGGAAGUCUUUCCCUCCCUGGAGUCACUGAAAAACUUCUGCUGAGUUCCAGCUCACAAAACAUAACUUUGCUUCCCCCCUCCUUUUAUAUACCAACUAAAACCCUAAACCUGCUCGCCUGGACCCUCUUGGGGGACUCUGUGUCUCUUUGUCUCUGUCUCUGUCUCUGCCUCUGUCUCUGUCUCUGUCUGUCUGUCUGUCUAUCUGUCUCAGAACCCCUGUCCCUGUGCCACUCUGUUGCUAAGCCUGCCUGCCUCCCUCUUCUCUCCAACUGUAACAAAAUUGUCCUUGAGUUUCCUCUGGCAUCAUUUUAAAAGUCUUUCAUCUCUGAGACUAAAGAUUUGCAGAAGGGAACCAUGCGUGUUCCCUGGUAACAACCCCAUGUCUAUGGGAGGAGGCAGGAAGUCUGGUUCUUUCAAGUAGGCUCUACCUCCUAAGGUAUGUGCCCUUAGCUGUCCGGGUGAGCGCGCUGGGGAAUUGUCCAUUAGCAGUGGGCUAAUUAAUUCACAAUAGAGGUGGGGCAUUUGGGAGAUGAGUAGGUCAUGAGAAUAGAUCAUUCAUGAUGGAAUUCGGACUCCAGAGCAGUUUUGGCCCUCUGCUGUGUGUGGAUACAUCACCAGGUCACCAUCUGUGAACCAGGAGACACUGAAUCUGCAGGUACCUUGAUCUUAGGCUUGCCUCCUGAACUGGGAGCAAUAUGAUUCUGAUGCUUACAGACCACUCUUUUCCUAGUGUUUCUAGUUACAGCAGCCAGAGUAAACUACAAUGGCUAGAAGAAGAAGCCACACAAACUCAGAUGUCUGUGCCACAGAUCAGCAUGUGUUUGCUGGGUCCCAGUGUCGCACCAUUUUGACUAUUGAUGUCUCCUUUCCAGAAAAGGUAGGAGGUAAAAGGGAGAGCUUGCGCCAGGAUGACAAGAAGCAGGCACAGUUUCCACCCAGCCCACAAUGGCUGCGGGUCUCAUCUGUUGACAGGACAGGGAAAUAAUACCAGACUCCGAGGUCAUGGAUUCUUGGGCUACCGAAGUCACCCUGGGUGAAUUUGAGCUCAAACCCUAAUCUCUGGAAUUCUUGGACAUCAGUGGACAUAAACCUGGCCUCCCAGGAAGUCGAAAAGAUUUAGACAGCCUGUGGAAACUCAGUGAGGUUUCUAAGGUGUUUCUAAAACACUGAAGUGUUCAUGACAAACUGCAACAGGCACUGCAAAUAUGCCUGGCCUCAAGAGACUUUGUAAUUUCCUGAGUUGUAAAAAUUUCUCACAAAGGCCAGCAGGGGGCGGCAGAGCACACCCUUUGCCUGGACCUUUUUCUUGUGUCAUGCUCUCAGGGUCUAUUUCCCUUUUACCUGUAGCACGAUGCCCGGAGCCCAGCCCUUAAUCUCUUUUAAAAUAAGAAAGACCCAAAAUAGUAUUAAUAAAUAAACACAUAGCAACGAAUCCAGUCUGUUUUAUAUUAAUCUUUGUACCAAUCUAGUUGUCAGAUUUAUUUAUUUAAUAAGAGAAGGAGUCAUGAAGGCAAAACCACCUUAGUUUAUGAAAGAGACAGUUUUUCCAGGGGGGUUCUGCACUGGAUUUUGAAGAAUGGGUUGGCAGCCUGGGUUCCCACUUGGCUUGGUUUGCUCAGGUAGUGCAAGGGUGGCCACACUCGAUUCUGGUAGCGUAAAGGUGACCGACCUCAUCAGGCAGAUACAAAGCUGGGGCUUCCAUCUUAAAUUAUGUUACGGAUGAGGAAGUGAUCUCCCAAAGCGAAACACAGUAAGUAGGCUCAGAACAAACAUUCCUCUGGCUUUCUCCUGCCCCCACCUCUCACUGUUCACUCCGUCCCAAAGCAAGUUAAAGAAGAAACCAGUGGUCACCUUCCCUAAAGCCAGCCACAAAGGUGAGAAGCACUCGUUUAACUUGCCCCAGUUUUGGCGCUUAGGAUCUGGUCACAGUGAGAUGGAUUCUGAGUCUGCAGGGGUCCUGCUUCAGACCUAGGAGGGGGAAAUGCUGUAACCAAGGGGCCGUGGAGCACCUGCGGGAGCAUGUUGGCCUAGGCGGUUUCCACCAUCCUGCGUGUUUCUAUGAACUCCUACCUUUCCACUCAGCAUGAGUCUAUCUGGCUGUCCCUGUCUCCGUGUUGAGCAGAGAAAUCAGGAAGUUUCCUCAGCGUCUUUGGAUCUUCGACCCUUAGGCUCUUGUAUUAUGUAAAACAUAGGCAAGCUGGUGCUGUGUUUCCCACUAGUGUUAACCUGUCUUUUGGCUUGCAGGUGUUGUUGGCCAUGACACUUUAUGGUGGCCAAAGGGAUUUACUGAAUACGUCGCAAAGGUAGUAGGGUAGACACAGCUAUGGACAAUGAACAGCUAUCAAGGGGACUGACAAUAGCCUAAGAUAAUAAUAGUUCUCUACAACGGUAGACAUUCUGGCCAGUUCAUCGGACUUGGAGAGCAGUUACUAUAGCUUUGGCUUUUUGUCUCUUGGAAAUUGUGGUUCUCAGUGUUCUCUACAGAGAAGCUGUGUGGAGCACACGGCUCAUGUCUGUCACCUGUUGGUGAGGAAAGCAAGUGACUAAAAGCAGCAGACACUAGAGAGCUUCCUCAGUUUCCCCUUGCUCCAGAAACACUACUGUGGAGCCACACACUAAGAAAUGUAUUCCCUUUUUUAUAUAAUAUUUCAUCUGCACAGACAGGAUGCUUCUCUUACUUUGAAAAUGUACUUAUCUUUGUAGCAACCCCCUUUCCCUUUCUAAACACCUUAUGUAAUCUGUUAAACACAAUAAAACCUGAAUCUCUGAAACUUUC